UAAGUAAAGUAAACGGUCGCGGUAUAAUAACCGAGGAAAGUCCAGACUCCAAGGGCAGGGUGCCUGUUUAAACACAGGGUGAAGUGAUUCACGGUAAGGGUCAUAGAAACGAAAACCGCCUUAACAAGGCAAGGGUGGAAAGGCGAGGUAAGAGCUCACCGGUGUCAGGGUAACCUGACAGCCUGGCAACCCCCAUCCGGAGCAAGACCAGACAGACAGGGUAAGACGGCCCGUCAGAAAAUUUAUUUUCCUCUGUCAGGUAGGUCGCUUAGAUAGAUGACCGUUAUAAACAGAAUCUGGCUUAUUCUUUACUUACAAA
rnacentral:RNase_P_RNA from 1 species